rnacentral:rRNA from 1 species
UACGAAGGGGGCUAGCGUUGCUCGGAAUCACUGGGCGUAAAGGGUGCGUAGGCGGGUCUUUAAGUCAGGGGGGAAAUCCUGGAGCUCAACUCCAGAACUGCCUUUGAUACUGAGGAUCUUGAGUUCGGGAGAGGUGAGUGGAACUGCGAGUGUAGAGGUGAAAUUCGUAGAUAUUCGCAAGAACACCAGUGGCGAAGGCGGCUCACUGGCCCGUAACUGACGCUGAGGCACGAAAGCGUGGGGAGCAAACAGG